GUAGAGGAGCAGUAUGCACAAGCCGGUGUUCUUAGACCAGCAAAGUGUCUGCAAAAUAUGACGGUAUCAAUCCUUCCCCAAUUGGAUCUUGUUCCAUACUGGUAGAAGGCUCCAGACACUUUUGCAGAAAAAGACCUAUGGUAGUCAUAAAAGGCUGAACCACCAUAUUUGUUGCCCAGAUCUACCAGCUUAUGCAUAUAAAGAUCAAACUCCUCUCUUCUAUUGGGAUAGACCGCACAGAUGACAUCCCGGUAAAUACCAAAGGCCAGUACAAACUCGGGGCUAGUCAGUUUCCUGUUUAGGCAGAUCUGACAACAACAGACACAUCAUCAUAAGCAUAAGUCUUAUUUUCCACAAUAUCCUGGGAGGCAAUCAGCAGGGAAGCCAGGUUGACUUCUUUACCUUCCAGGAUAUCUCUUUUUAUGUGCUCAGGGAUCAUAUGAGCAGGGCUAACUUCCUGGUCAUCCGGGGUGAUGGCUGGAGCAACCAAUAGCUAGUCGGCUGGUGCUUGUGAAGCAGCAGCGGGUGGCCCUGCUAGAGUAAGGGCCGUGGUGACCGACUCAAGUUUCUCCAGCCUGAAGUUGACCCUGCUCAUGGACGCCAUGAGUGAAGACAACAUGGAAUGUAUGUCUCCUGGGUUGGACUGGCUAGGUCCUUC